rnacentral:rRNA from 1 species
GAUGAACGCUAGCUACAGGCUUAACACAUGCAAGUCGAGGGGAAACGACAUCGAAAGCUUGCUUUUGAUGGGCGUCGACCGGCGCACGGGUGAGUAACGCGUAUCCAACCUGCCCACCACUUGGGGAUAACCUUGCGAAAGUAAGACUAAUACCCAAUGACGUCUCUAGAAGACAUCUGAAAGAGAUUAAAGAUUUAUCGGUGAUGGAUGGGGAUGCGUCUGAUUAGCUUGUUGGCGGGGUAACGGCCCACCAAGGCGACGAUCAGUAGGGGUUCUGAGAGGAAGGUCCCCCACAUUGGAACUGAGACACGGUCCAAACUCCUACGGGAGGCAGCAGUGAGGAAUAUUGGUCAAUGGACGUAAGUCUGAACCAGCCAAGUAGCGUGCAGGAUGACGGCCCUAUGGGUUGUAAACUGCUUUUAUGCGGGGAUAAAGUGUGGGACGUGUCCCAUAUUGCAGGUACUGCAUGAAUAAGGACCGGCUAAUUCCGUGCCAGCAGCCG